rnacentral:rRNA from 1 species
CAGCCGCCGCGGUAAUACGAAGGGUGCAAGCGUUAAUCGGAAUUAUUGGGCGUAAAGGGCGCGUAGGCGGUUUGUUAAGUCUGCUGUGAAAGCCCUGGGCUCAACCUGGGAAUUGCAGUGGAUACUGGGUCACUAGAGUGUGGUAGAGGAUAGUGGAAUUUCCGGUGUAGCAGUGAAAUGCGUAGAGAUCGGAAGGAACAUCUGUGGCGAAGGCGACUAUCUGGGCCAACACUGACACUGAGGCACGAAAGCGUGGGGAGCAAACAGGAUUAGAUACCCCUGUAGUCCCUGUCUCUUAUAC